rnacentral:lncRNA from 1 species
AAGCAAGUGAAAUAGUUCUUGAAAUAUUAUAAAAACAUGACAAGCCUGCAAAAAUUCUAUUCCAAAAAUGAAAGACACUUAUCCAAAAUAAGCACAAUUAUCAUCAGAAAAUUCCUAGCGCAAAUCUGUAAUUAUCCAAAAUAAUUGUACUAGCCUCGACCAUGUUGAAUUCUCAGGUCAUCCAGGUGAGAUUUUCCCCUAAGCUCACUGGCAAACUGGCUCCCAUUGAGUAAACUUCCAAGGUGUCUCUACAAGAAAAAAGAAGGUAAAACAUUAUAUAGAAUCAUAGAAGAUUUAAUUUUCACUUUUUGCUUGCAAAUCCAUAUCAAGCACAAACAGAGAAAACCUGAGGGAAGGAGGGAGCUUAGGAAAUAAGUGUGGCUUCCUCUGAUGAACUGGAAGAGUGAUCAUCGAGAAAAUGCCAGCCCCAUCAAGCUUUUGUUCCUCAGAUAAAACAAAGGCUUGUCCAAAUCCUUCUACAUCUCCUGGAUGCUGCCAAUAUUUUUUCUUUUCUUCCAUGCUCAGAUUGAAGAAGCCCUUAACCUUUUUCUUUACUUUCUCUAGAAAUGCUGAGAUUACUCCAUGGUUUACCAGCUGAAAUUAUGCAGGAAUGAAAAGCAGCUAAGAUUUGAUAAUCGUGCCACUAGGUUCACAAUCGUCCAGGCGUUUUAUGAAGACAGAUUGCAACUUAUUUGACUGAUUUAGAGACAAGAUUUGUUGUUACUGAUGGCUAAAAGCAUUUGUUACAUUUCAACUGCAAACAUUGUUGUUGCAUUAAACACCAAUUUUAUUUUGUUUAUAAAUCUAAUCAAUGAUUGGUUUUUACAAGUGUUUUUUACUCAUAGUUUUGGAGAAAUUUGAAUAUUCUAGAACAGCUAAUAAUCUGUGGGAGUCUUAUACAAUUAAUUAUAUCUUUUAUCACAUAUUGACAGAAGCAUAUUUCUCAUAAGCUACCAAAAGCUAUUGAGACAAAAUAGGUGAAAUUUGUCAUGGGCAUCUUUUAAUACAAAUUAUACUAACAAAUCUAUGGCUAUAUGGAAAGCUAAAGUAAUAAAGAAAGUCAAAAACAAAUAUAUCAAUGGAAUCUGGGUUUCAGAAAAUUAAUGGUGAGUGUUUUCUUUUCAUAUUGCCUCAUAAAUUGUACAAUAAAACAAGAGACAACUUCCUUGACAUUUCACAAGCUGCGGUCCUAGAAGCACUGAAAGCAGCAAAAGGACUAGAUGGGAAAUUUUGAAAUCAUGACAUGCUAAAUCAAUGGAAACUGGGUUUCAAAAAUAGAUAUUUUGUGACUGAGAUUUUUGCAGAUUUCAUGAUUUUUAAAUCACAGACAAGCAUGAAAAAUCUUUCUAACUCUGCUAAAGCAUUUUACCUGGAAAAAACCCCAUUCUUUGCAUGCGAAGUCGAGCUUGGCUAACUCAGAAUCCAUUGAUUCUUCAUAAAGCAAGCUCUGCAUGUCAAUAACUGGUAUCUAUGAAAUCAAAGCAUCAUCAGAAUUGAGUGGUGAAUCUUCAUCUGGACGUAUGUAUCUAGGAGGGACAACUAACAUAGGAUUCUUGACCAACUCUUGAACACAAGGAACAAGCAGAGAACCUCCAAUCUUGGCCAUCUUUUGUUCCACAAAUCCUCUUAAGAUUGCUACAGCUUUGUAUUGGUUUUGGAACAAGAGUGCAGGGUGCAGACUGCAGACAAUCGCAAGAGUUAAAAACAAUUAUUUUCUAACAAAUCAGCAUCCUCCACCUAACCGCUCAUGAUAUAUUUUUAUGCAAAUGACUGAUCUGGAUUAUUUUAAGGGGACUGAUAACUCUCGGAAAUGAGAGUUAUUACAUCUAUUCUAGAUGUGAAUAAAGGCCAUUUAGAAAGCAAAUAAUGUGUUUUGAUUACAUUUUGGUGACCUUUUGCAUAAACAUUCAUUUUAGUUGAGUUUUAACAAGUUUUGCUUGAAUCAUAGAAAUUUGUGCUAAAAACAUAUUUUAAUUUGUAGGUUUUAAAUUCAUGAAAGGAUGUGGAGACAUUAGAUGAGAAAGAGGAGGAAAGAAGAUGGCCACAAAAGAAGAAAAGCACAAUCGGAAAUAAUACAGUGCUGUUGCAAAUGUUAGAGCAACCAGUGUUGUAGCAAUCUGGGAGCAAUGCGGGAAAAAAUAUAAGCGCGGGUCAGCAAUUAAAUCACGAUCUGCAUGUUUCCUAAUUUAAACACAUGCACGCCCAUAGACUUUGGUUUUAACCUAAUUUGCAAUAUAUAAAGGAAGCAUGCACCACAUAGAAAGCGGAGAGGAAUUAUCAUCCAAAAACAAUUACAAAGGCAAGAAGAAUAAGAAGAUCAAGAUUAAGGAGUGUUGUUCGGCAUCAUUGAAGAACCGAGGAGGAUCAUUAGUCUUUCAUCGUGCUCAACUCAUAUUAUCUUUCUUCCUUUAAUUGAUUGGAUGUAUUCUGUGAUCAGAAUAUUUAUGUUUACUUUUCUCAUUCAGAAUAUGAACUGAAUUUACUUGUAGUUGAGUGACAAAUAAUCCAAUGGGGUCUUGACUGUUCUUAUAUGUUGUUAUGAUAAUGCUGUAGCAUUAUACUCUAAUAGUUUUUAUGAAUAUAACUGUUAUUUCGGUUGACCACCCAUUUAAUAGUUUCAGUUAAGAUAGAGCAGCAAAAGGGCAUGUCUUAGCGGAUAUUAUUAGAGUAUUACUUGUUCUUAAAUCGAGUUUCCUGGAUUAGAUUAACUUAAAUCCCAUAAAGGGAAUACUUGAAUCAAGAUUUGUGAUAUCAUAGACAUAGGUGUUCACCUUGUAGGGUAGAGAGAUUAAAGAUCAUAAAGCCAUACAUUAAAUUUAUAAGCAACUGGUCAUUGUUAGUAGAUUUAAAGGUAUGAGAUUUUCAACAUGCGAUAGUUGCGGAUGCAGAUUGGUUCUGCCCAGUGCUACAGCACUUAUUAUAACAACUGGUGCUAAUUCGGUAAUCAACGGUCACCCCAUUAGGAGAGUUUGAUCAUUCAACUACUAUAUUCUCAAUUGAACCUUAGACACAUUUAACUUAGUUUAUUUUAUUACGGUAUUGUUUUAUUUCCAUCUCUCGUAAUUAUUAGUUACGAUAGAAUUAUUUGGCAAUUAUUUGUUUCAGUCUUUAGUUGACUUGCAUUAUUGCGAUUGCUUUAGCAUUUUGAGUAAACAUCAAUCCCUGUGGAGACGAUCUUGAACACUCAUCACUUUAUUACUUGUUGUGUAUACUUGCACAUUGGCAUUGAUAAUAAUUGAUUAUAUAAAUCAACCAACAAGUUUUUGGCGCCGUUGCCGAGGAUAGAUUGUUUAUUUUUUAAGUGUAAAGUAAAUCGUGAUAGCACUAAACUAAACUUGAUUCAUUCUAUUGAUUGGCAGAUCAGUACGUGUAUGCUCAAGGACAGAUCUGUGAUAUUUUAAUUCGAUCCUGAGAUUGAAAGGACUAUCAGGAGAUUGUGAAGAGAACAAAGAAAUUCAAAGAUUGUUUCAGACAUGAAUAAUUUGCAAGAUGAGGGAAAUUUGAACCCUUACGGGCCUUUACAACCAGCCAACAUUCAACAAGAGCAUAAUGAACAUGCUAACGGGAGACAGCCAGGCAACAACAAUAUUAUUUACAUGGCUGAUGACAGAGAUAGAGUUAUAAGAGAUUAUGCUGGACUAACUCCUCAAGUUGUCCAUCCUGGCAUCAUCAGACCUGAAGUAGAUGCUGCCAACUUUGAGUUAAAACCAGUGAUGUUUCAAAUGUUGCAAACAGUUGGGCAAUUCAAUGGAUUGCCAAAUGAAGACCCUCAUCUCCAUCUUAAAUUAUUCUUGGAAGUAAGUGAUGCUUUCAAGAUUGCUGGAGCAACGCAAGAUGCCUUAAGGCUGAGGCUCUUUCCUUAUUCCUUAAGAGAUCGAGCAAGAGCAUGGUUAAAUUCAUUACCAUCUUAUUCCAUCACUACAUGAAAUGAACUGGCUGAUAAAUUCCUAAUGAAAUAUUUUCCACCGAAAAAAAUGCAAAAUUACGAAAUGAGAUUACCUCCUUCCAUCAACUAGAAGAUGAGAGUUUGUAUGAGGCUUGGGAAAGGUUCAAGGACUUGCUCAGAAGGUGUCCUCAUUAUAGUAUUCCUUGUUGCAUUCAAUUGGAAACUUUCUAUAAUAGGUUGAAUCCAAGUACAAGGUUAAUGGUGGAUGCUUCAGCAAAUGGAGCUCUAUUAUCCAAAUCCUACACUGAAGCUUAUGAAAUUUUGGAAAGAAUUGCCAAUAAUAAUUACCAGUGGCCUUCAGCUAGGCAACCAGUAGCAAGAGGAUCAGCAGGGGUACAUAGCAUUUAUGCAAUUACAGCCUUAUCAGCUCAGUAACUUCAUUGACUAACAUGGUAAAAGCCAUGACAGCUGCUCCAGCAACAGUAAAGCAAGUUACUGAACUUUCUUGUGUCUACUGUGGUAAAUAACAUGAUUUUGAUAAUUGUCCUGGAAAUCCAUCCUCAGUAAAUUAUGUGGGUAACUUCAAUCGACAACCUCAGAACAACCCAUAUUCAAAUACUUACAACCCAGGCUGGAAGCAACACCCAAAUUUCUCAUGGAGUAAUCAGAAUCGAAAUGCUCCAGCAUUGAAUGGACUAAGUAGAAACACACAACCACAACCACCUGGUUUUCAUCAACAAAGUCAAGGGCAAAAACAUAUCAGUCAGGAUCCAAUCACUUCAUUGGAAGUGUUAAUCAAGGAGUACAUUGCAAAGAAUAAAGCAAUUGUGCAGAGUCAAGCUGUGUCCUUUAGAAAUCUUGAGAACCAAAUGGGACAAUUAGCUACAGCAAUGAGCAGUAGAACUCAAGGAAGCUUACCAAGCAACACAGAAGAUCCUAGGAGAAAGAGCAAAGAACACUGCAAAGUGAUUAGUCUGAGAUCUGGAAAGCAUGUUGAUAUCCCAGUUGAGGUGACCAAAAAUGGGAUGGAAUACAAUUCAGCUCAAAAACCAAUUCAAAAGGGAAGCAUGUUACAGCAGACUCCCCAUCAAGACACUGAUGCAAGGGACCCAGUUACAGUAACUGCAAAAGAAAUUCAACCAGAUCUUGCUGAAAAAAAAAGUUACAACACCAGUAGCCACAACCUGUACCAACUUAAACAAACAGAGUUUAGUACCUCCUGAAUCUAACCAGCAGUUUAGACAUCCACCACCCUUCCCUCAAAGCUUCCAGAAGCAAAAACAAGACAAGCAGUUCAGCAAAUUCCUAGAAGUGCUGAAGCAACUGCACAUAAACAUACCUUUUGUGGAAGUUUUGGAGCAAAUACCAAAUUAUGUGAAAUUUCUAAAAGAUAUCUUGGCACGAAAAAGAAGGCUGAGAGAGUUUGAAAUUGUUGCUCUAACACAAGAAAGCAGUCAUAUGCUUCAGAGUAAAAUUCUCACAAAAUUGAAAGAUCCAGUGAGUUUUACAAUACCCUACUCAAUAGGGAAUAGGUAUGCUGGCAGAGCACUCUGUGAUUUGGGAGCUAGUAUUAACUUGAUGUCAUUAUCUGUAUUUAAGCAGCUUGGAGUAGGGGAGUGCAGACCAACAAUUGUCACUCUGCAAUUAGCUCACAGAUUUCAUGCAUAUCCUGAAGGAAAGAUAGAGGAUGUACUGGUGAAGGUUGACAAAUUCAUUUUUCCAGUAGAUUUCAUUGUGCUGGACUUUGAAGCUGACAAAGAGGUACCCAUUAUACUUGGCAGACCUUUUCUAGCAAUUGGAAAGACUCUGAUAGAUGUGCAGAAAUGAGAGCUGACCAUAAGAGUGAAUGAUCAGCAAGUCACAUUUAAUGUACUAGAGGCUAUGAGAAACCCUGAUGAAAUAGAAGAGUGCAAUUUCCUAAGUGUAGUGGAUCUUGUUGUAGCAGAUAGAAUGGACAGAUGCUGCAGUAAUGUACUUAACAAAGUCACCACCUUUGAGGAGAUUGAAGAGGAAGAUGUUGCAGAAAUUCAAACAGAUUGCAUAGAAAAACAGCAAUCUAAUAGGCACAACAGGGUUAUUGAACACCUGAAUCUUUCAGACAGGGAAGUAAAAACAACUUUACCAUCUAUUGAAUCACCUCCUAGUUUUGAAUUAAAACUGUUACCUUCACAUUUAAAGUAUACUUAUCUUGGUCAAAACAACACACUCCCUGUAAUCAUUUCUUCUACUUUGGAUGCAAGUCAAGAACAAAGCCUAGUAGACUUGCUGGGAAAAUACAUAAGGGCAAUUGGCUAGACCAUGGCAGAUAUAAAGGGUAUCAGCCCAUCAAUCUGUAUGCAUAAGAUCCUGUUAGAAGACUAUUCCAGCAAUUCGGUGGAGCACCAGAGAAGGCUGAAUCCUAUUAUGAAAGAAGUGGUGAAGAAUGAAAUCAUCAAAUGGUUAGAUGUUGGAAUCAUAUACCCAAUAUCAGACAGUUCAUGGGUAAGCCUAGUUCAGUGUUUUCCAAAGAAAUGAGGGAUAACAGUAAUGGCUAAUGAGAAGAAUGAACUUAUUCCUACAAGGACAGUGACUGGAUGGAGAGUGUGUAUGGAUUAUAAGAAGCUCAACAAAGCCACAAUAAAAUACCAUUUCCCACUUCCAUUUAUAGAUCAGAUACUGGACAGACUUGCUGGAAAGCAAUACUACUGUUUCUUAGAUAGGUAUUCAGGCUACAACCAGAUUGUUAUAGCACCAGAGGAUCAAGAGAAGACUACAUUUACUUGUCCUUAUGGAACAUUUGCCUUCAGAAAAAUGCCAUUUGGGCUAUGCAAUGCUCCAAUAACUUUUCACAGAUGCAUGAUGUCUAUAUUUUCUGAUAUGGUAGAGCAGACUUUGGAAAUUUUCAUGGAUGAUUUCUCAGUUUUUGAAGAAACAUAUAGUAAUUGUUUACACAACUUGGAAGAAGUUCUUAAAAGAUGUGAGAUGACCAACCUAGUACUCAAUUAAGAGAAGUGUCAUUUCAUGGUGCAAGGAAUAGUGCUGGGUCACAAGAAUAUCCAAUGAUAGUAUUGAGGUAGAUAAAGCCAAGAUAGAGGUAAUAGAUAAACUGCCACCCCCAACUUCAGUAAAGGGUAUUAGGAGUUUUCUGGGUCAUGCUGGAUUCUACAGAAGAUUCAUUAAGGAUUUUUCCAAAGUAGCCAAGCCUCUAUGUUCAUUGCUGGAGCAUGACAAACCAUUUCACUUUGACAAAGAAUGCCUUCAAGCAUUUGGCGAAUUAAAGAAAAUCCUUAUCACUGCUCCAGUAGUUAUAUCUCCAUAUUGGAAUUUACCAUUUGAAUUGAUGUGUGAUGAUAGUGAUCAUUCUGUGGGAGUAGUAUUAGGGCAAAGAAAUGAUAAGGUUUUUCAUUCCAUAUACUAUGCAAGCAAAACUUUCACUCCAACUCAGAUCAAUUACACCACUACAGAGAAAGAAUUGCUAACAAUAGUUUUUACUUUUGACAAAUUCAGAGCUUACCUGGUAGGUACUAAAGUAACUGUUUGCACAGACCAUGCAACCAUCAAAUAUUUAAUUUCAAAGAAGGAUGCCAAACCAAGACAAAUCAAAUGGAUCUUAUUGCUUCAAGAAUUUGAUCUGGAAAUUAAAGAUAGAAAAGGGGCUAAGAAUCAAGUGGCAGACCACUUGUCACGGUUGGAAGCAGACACUAGUACAUUGACAAGGAAGGGCAUCACUAAAACUUUUCCUCAUGAACAGCUGUUGGUAAUACAGCAAGCACAAAUACUGCAGCAGUCAGCAUCUCCAUGGUAUGCAGACUUUGCUAACUAUCUAGUAAGUGGGUUACUACCACCUGAGCUGAAGUUUCAAGAGAAAAAAAAAAUUUCUUCAUGAUGUUAGAAGCUACCAGUGGGAUGGCCCACAUUUAUAUAAGCUAUGCUCAUAUCAAGUAAUAAGAAAAUGUGUUGCAGCAGAAGAAAUACCUCAUAUACUGGAAUCAUGUCAUGCUGCAGCAUAUGGAAGACAUUUUGGUGGUCACAGAACAGCUGUCAAAGUUAUGCAAUCAAGUUAUUAUUGGCCCACUAUUUUUAAAGAUGCUUAUGAAUUUGUUAAAUGUUGUGACAGGUGUCAAAGGACAGGGAACAUAACUAGCAAACAUGAGAUGCCAUUGACCAACAUACUGGAAGUGGAAGUUUUUGAAGUUUGAGGAAUAGAUUUCAUAGGACCUUUUCCCCCAUCCUUUGGAAACUUAUAUAUCCUUGUUGCUGUAGAUUACUUCCACCCACUUGGAGACAUAAUCUACAACAUUACCUACCAAUGAUGCUAAACUGUGGUGACCUUUCUUCAAAAAAAUGGUUUCUCCAGGUUUGGCACUCCUAGAGCAAUAAUUAGUGAUGAAGGUGCACAUUUUUGCAACAAAAUCUUUGCUGCAGCAAUGAUGAAAUAUGGAGUCCGACACAAGAUAGCAACAGUAUAUCACCCACAAGCCAAUGGUCAGGCUGAAGUGUCCAACAGAGAAAUUAAAAAUAUCUUAGAAAAAGUGGUGAACCUAGGGAUGGCAAUUGUACCCGCAAACCCGCAAACCCGCCCAAACCCACCCGCCAAAACCCGCCCGUUGCGGGUAAUUUUAUCCGUUGCGGGCGGGUUUAGUAUUAUAAAUUAAAACCCGCAUAUGGAUGCGGGUGGGUUUGGUAUUAACCUUAUACCCGGUGGAUACCCGCAUGGAUAUCCACCAAACCCGCAAUAAUUUUUUUCAAAUAUUUUUAAUUUAAUUUAAAUAUAAAAAUAUAUAAAGAAAAUAAUGUAAUUAAUCAAAUUACCAAAUAGCAAAAGGCUCAAAGUUGUGUAUGUGUGUAUAUGGCUCAUCUCUUAUUCUAAAGUCAUAACCUAAAGAAAACUAAAGGCAUUUCCCUUCGAAUUAGUAUUUGAAAAUAUUAAUCUUAAUUAUUAUUUUAGGCAUUGUGUUAGAUGGGUGCUUAUGGUGGUGAAUAAAAUAAAUAUAUUCUCUUUGAUCUUGUUUUAAAUGAUAAUAUGAAAUGUAAUUAUUAUUUUUAGAUAUUAGUUUGUGUUUUUUAAAUAGAUUUGUAUAAUUUAUACUUAAAUUUGAGAAUUUGUAUUGAAUUGAUGUGGAAAUUUUAAUUUUUUAUUUACAUUGUUUAAAUAUAAAAUUGAAUAUGUUAUAUGGAACUUGAGGUUAUUAUUAUAAAUUUAUAUAUUAAAUAUUUGUGAUUUUAAAUACGGAAACCCGCAAAAAAUCUGCCGGAUACCAUUGCGGGUUUGGUAAUUGUUAAAACCCGCUGCGGGUGGGUUUUUUUAAAAAAAUUAAAACCCGCUGCGGGUUGCGGGUGGGUUUGGUAAUUUAAAUUUUGUGCGGGUUUGGGUUUGGUAAUGGCAAACCCGCUGCGGGCGGUGCCCAUUGCCAUCCCUAGGUGAACCCAACAAGGAAUGAUUGGUCUUUACAUUUGCAUGACUCUUUAUGGGCCUAUAGAACAGCAUACAAAACCCCACUCGGCAUGUCUCCUUACCGAAUUGUUUAUGGCAAGGCUUGUCAUUUGCCCCUAGAGCUAGAGCAUAAAGCACACUGGGUACUGAAGAAACUAAAUUGGGACAUUCAUGCUGCAGCAGAACAAAUGAAGCUUCAACUUUGUGAGCUUGAUGAAUUAAGGCUAUUUUCACAUGAAAAUGCAAGAAUUUAUAAAGAGAGAACAAAACACUGGCGUGACAAGCAUAUUCAACACAGGAAGUUCACCCCUGGUCAAUUAGUGUUGCUCCACAAUACAAGACUAAGAUUGUUUCCGGGAAAGCUCAAGUCACGAUGGUCUGGCCCGUUUAAGCUGUUAAAAUCCUACCCUCAUAGAGCUGUUGAUCUUUUAGAUGAACAAACAGGCCACGAAUUCAAGGUUAAUGGGCACAAGGUUAAGCAUUACAUACAUCCAUAUAUCUUUAAUCAUACAAGUAGAUAUAUCAUGUGACCAUGAACAUAUCCAAAAACUCAUUUGGUGAGUCAAAAACAUAUCUCGAUUCCUAACUCAGGCAAGAGAUGUCUCAAUUGCAAUCGUAUGCAAGAGAAUUUAAAAAUAUGUUCAUUGUAUCCUAGAUUUAAUUUAUUUUAAUACUCAAGCAUACUAAAUCUCAUUAGUAUGCUAAAAUUGCACAAUCUCUUUAUGUAUUCAUAAUUGUAAUAUCCCAAAGAUAUUAUACAAUUGGUCAACCAGUGAAUCAAAUAAAAAAAAAAUAAAUCUUCUUAUCACACUCAUGCUCAUCAAUUCAGAAUAGUCGCUUUCCUAGUCAUGUUUCAUAGACCGAAUAAUGUCAAGGUCAUAGAUAACAUACUAAAGUAGCAGACACCACUAUGAGAUCUCAAAAACAUAGUUGAUAGUCAUAAGGAUACUGGGAUUGACUUUUUACACAAUGAGAAAGAUGAAAGAUUCUUUUAUUUUCCAUUUUGGUUACCAAGCACACGUGGUAUGGUGCACGUGUUACAGUAAAUCUUCCAUUUUAGGACUAUGGAUCUUAGUCCAGUCACUCUUUUAGAAUGAAUGCUCUCCUCUAGCGUAAAAAGUAAGAUCUCACAUCUGACUUCAAUCAAGUCUCCAUGAUGGUGGGGUAUAUCAUAGUCAGUCUAUAAUAAAAAUCGUGUGAGACCUCUUGAUUCUAGUCAAGGCGACAAAACUUGUAGAAUAACGCUUUUUAUUUGGCUCUCAAACAAAAACAUUAUUUUAUUAUUCUACUUGUCUCAUCUCAGCUUGCUCUUAAAGCAAUUGAGGUGACUACUUGUGUAAGAAAACUAGUCUGGACUUGACGACAUACUCUUAUAUAUGUGUAAUUAUGUCUUUCAUGGAAUAAAUUGAAAUAAGAGAUACUAUUACAUUUUCAAACAACUUAUGCAAUGAAAAUGUUUAUAACAAAUAAGUACAUCUUAAUAAUAGUAAUUUAUAAUCUACGCAGCCCCAAUGAUUUAGCAUAAGAGGCAAAUACAUCCCUUAUUACAGCUUUGGUAAGUGGAUCAGCUAUCAUGCUAUGUGUAGAUAUAUAUUGUAUGGCUACUUCUUUCUUUGCCAAAAUAUCUCUUACAAAAUUGUAUUUAGUCUCAAUGUGUUUCGAUUUGGUAUAGUAUUUAGCAUUAUUAGAGAAAAAGAUAGUAGCUUGAUUGUCACAAUAGAUAGUCACUAGAUUAUCAUUGCUAAUAUUAAUCUCUAAGUCCUCUAUAAAUCUCUUAAGUCACAUAACUUCUUGCACUGCUGCAGAACAUGCAAUAUAUUCGGCUUCCAUCGUUGAUUAAGUCAUGCAUGUUUGUUUCUUGCUACUCCAUGUAAUUGUUCCUCUGUUUAGCAAGAAUACAUAUCUUGAAGCCGAUUUGUGCUAAUCCAGAUCACCACCCUAGUCGGCGUCUGAAUAUCCAACAAGCCGCAAACCACCUCCUUGAUAGCAUAAACAAUAAUUUGCAGUGCAUUUGAGAUAUGUUAAAAUCCUUUUAACAGCACUCCAAUGCUUCUAACUAGGAUUAGACUGGUAUCUACUUACUAGUCCUAUAACAUAACUAAUAUCAAGCCUUGUACACAUUAUGACACACUUAAGACUUCCAAUGGCAUUUGCCUAAGGAACUCUAAUUAUUCUUUCCUUUUCUUGAGGAGUCUUAGGGCACAUAUCGAGACUAAGAGAUUGUCCUUUAGCUAUAAGGGUAUCCUUGUGCUUACAAUCAGCCACAUUGAAUCUUUCAAUGAUCUUCUUAAUGUAAGACUCUUGUGACAGAGCCAUAAAUUUUCUUGAACGAUCCUUAAAAAUUUUGACCCCUAAGAUAUAUGUUGCUUCGCCGAUAUCUUUCUUGUCAAAAUUUGAAUGUAACCAAUCUUUAAUAAUUUUGACAAACUCUUUACUAUUUGCUACCAAUAAUAUAUCGUCCACAUACAAAGUAAAUAUCGCAAAAGCGUCUUUAUAUCUCUUAAUGUACACACAAUGGUCUUCCUUAACCAUCCUAAAGCUAUAAGAAACUACAGCUUGAUAGAAUUUAAGGUUCUAUUACAGGUGGGCAUAUUUUAACUGAACAUAUCCAAACCGACCAUUUGGAUCGGUUUCAUUAGUAAAAAAACUAGUUUCGGUUUAUUGGAUUGCAAACCGAUAUCACUCAAUUUGGAUUUCAGCAAACCUAUCCAAUCCAUAAAAUUUUAAAAGCUUUAAGACAUAUGAUGUGUCAAUUUAUUAUUGGAUUAUUAACAGAAGAAAUGUACACUUUCAUACACAAUAGCAUACUUCUUAUUAUAAAAACAAAAACACAAAAACCUAACAGCUGCCUCCACCUCAAGUGCCUCCUAUCAUUCUCAACUCUUUCAAUCUCAAUCGCUCAUUCUCAAGUCUCAUAGUCAUAAUUUUAAAAAUCAAAACAUAAGGGUAUGUUUUGAUUUUAUUUUUCUUGCUACAAUUUUAUUUUAUUUUAGUCAAAAGUUAAAAUGGAUUUUGGUAUAAUUGAUGAUAAUUUAUUUGAUUAAUUGAUUCCAUAACUAAUUUUUUUUAAUCUUCAUGAAUUAUAGAAGUUCUCAACAUGGAAGAUAAUUCCAAUGUGAAUAAUAUCAUAGAAGAUGGAGAAACAUUGAUGGAUGAUUUUCUAGAACCUAAAAGUAAGAAAUCUAAAAUAAGGGGUGGUCAUCUUCAUGACAAUGAAAGGGGUUCAAAAGUUUGGCCUCAUUAUAUCAAAGAUUAAGUGAAUAGGACAUGUAAGUGCAAAUAUUGUGGGAAGUAGUAUAAGUGUGAUAGUAAGUUUAAUGAGACUUUUAAUUUGUGGACUCACUUAAGAGAACAAUGUGAAAAAUAUUGGGCUACUUUAGAUGAUGUGACUCAAGUUAAACUAGAUCGCUUCCGUGAUAAGAAAAAAAAGUCUAAUAUGGCAAGUGGUAGUGGCAUUGGGAAUAUUGUGUAUGGUAUUGGGUUGGGGCUUGCUGGAAAGUUUGGUCAGGAGGAUUGUAGGAAGAAUAUGGGUAUGUAUUUUAUUCUUAAUGAGGGUUCAUUUAGGAAGGUAGAGUCUUAUGGAUUUCAUCUUUUGUGCGACAAACAUUGUCCUACAUUUGGCCCUCCUUCUAGGGGAACACUUGUAAGAGAUAUAGAUCAAUUGUAUUUAGUUGAGAAGGCAGCAUUCAAAAAUAUUUUUAUUGCAAAUAAGUAUAGAGUUUCUAUUACCGCAGACAUUUGGACUUCCAUACAAAAUUUUAAUUAUAUGUUAUGACAACCCAUUGGGUUGAUCAUAAUUGGAAAUUGCAUAAGAGAAUUUUGAAUUUUUUUUCCAAAUAACAAGCCACAAAGGGGACUUAAUCGGCAACCUUAUUGAAAAAUGCUUGCUUGAUUGGGGUAUAGAAAAAGUGAUGACUAUUAUAGUUGAUAAUGCGAGUGCUAAUGAUGUUGCUAUCAAUUAUUUGAAAACAAAGUUGAAAAAUUAGAAGGGUGAUGCAAUGAUUUUAGAUGGAGAUUAUUUACAUUUGUGGUGUUGUGCCCAUAUUUUUAAUAUAAUUGUGACUGAAGGGCUGAAAGAGAUGCAUGACUCAAUUACUAGCAUUCGCAAUGCAAUUAUGUAUGUGAGGUCUUCAGGUUUGAGGUUGCAUGUUGUAGGUUUUCUAAUGCUAUUGAUGUCAAUGUGCAAGUGUACACAAUAAGUAAUACAAUGAUGAGUACUCAAGAUUGUCUCAAUAGGUUGUUAUAGGAAUUGCUACAGUAAUUUUAUCAGUGCAAUUUUUAUUCUAAACAAGAAUUAAAAUAAAUUAUUAAACUAAUGAAAUAAUAAAAAUAAAAACGCAAUAAGAAAAAUGCAAUAAAGUAAAAUACCAUAGUAAAUACAAGAAUGUUACCAAGGGGAAUAGAGUACUUGAGCGAUUAAACUCACUUAAUGGUUAUGACUAUUUUUCUAAUGUUGGCUCGAUUGCUAUAGCAUUUGCUACAGCACUGGGCAGAAUCCUUAUGUAUCCUCAGCUGUCGCAAGUUGAAUGUCUUAUAUCUAAAUGCAACUUAACAAUGACCAAUUGUUAUGCUAACAUCAGAUAUAGCAUUAAACAUUUUAGAUUUUAAUUACCCUACAAGGUGAAUCCCUAUAUCUAGUUCAUCACUAAUUUUAUAUUAAGCAUGACCCAUUUCAAAUCAAGUUAAACCUAACUCAGGAAACCCAAUCUAAAACCAAGUAUUGCUUUGAUAUGUUCCACUAAGACAAGCCUUUUUUAGGCUCUUUCUUAACGAGUAUCACUAAAUGGGUGGUCAACCAAAAUAGUAAAUUGAAAUAAGUAUUAUCAAAACAACGUGCUAUAGCAAACAUGCAACAACACAUAAUAUUAGUCAAUUAACCAUCAAGUUUGUUCAUUACUCAACCACAAGUAAAUUUAGUUAAUAAUUUGUGAUAAAACAAGAAGUAAAAUAGUUUCAGCCAUCAAACAAUUCAUCAUAACGAGAUAGAAACAAGAGAACAAAAAAUAAGAGUGCGAUCCGCUUGAUGUUCUUCUCAAAUUCCUUAGUUACAGCCCCCAAUUCUCUCUCUUGAUCUUUGUUUUUUCUUGUGUUGUUUAUCUAUUUUUCUUCUCCAAUGACAGCUCCCUUUUCUUUGCGUGUGUGCUCUUUUUAUAGUUUAGAAUUAGGGCAACUGGAAGCCUAGGGCAUUCAGCUUCUAAUUUAGGAAACUCCAAACCGCAAACUUCAAAGUAUCUCGCGCGAAAUCUUCUCUGUCAAUGCUCUAUAAUUGCUAUAGCAACGAUGCUACAACAACAGUGCUACAGCAAUGGCUUCAGCAUCUGCACUAUUCCAGACUUGUUUCAAUUCUUCUCUAAUUAAGUUCUUUCCUUAUCUUUACAAGUCUAUUGCAGCCGCAUUCCUUACUUGAAAUUUAAACUUCUGGUCACCUACAAUUAUGCAUAUGAUUUAAGCACACAAUUUAUUCUGAAUCAAACAAAACUUAUUAAAAGUAAACUAAGAUGGAUGUUUAUGCAAAACAUUACUAAAAUGCAAUAAAAACAUAUCAUUUACUGUCUAAGUAAUCAUGAUUUAAGUCUCAAAGUGCCAUGAUAACUCUCAUUUCAUAGAGUUAUCAUUAUAAAUUUAAAUCAUGUGUUGAGAGAGAGAAAAUUGAAUAUAAAGGAAUUCUACCUACACUAUGUUGUCCAGAGCUAUACACUUUCAAAAAGCUUUUGAAAGUUUGGAAGAAGAGGAAUAUAAUGGACCAUAUAUGAGUUUUUUCAAUGAGAGGAAAGUAGAACAGAUCAGGCUACCCAUAAUAGAAGAUUGGAAAAGUGCUAAAAUAUUUAUUGAGUUUUUGAAUUUUUUGAAUAAUGUUACAGUUGAUUUCAGUGCUUCAUUAUCUGUCACAUCUAACUUGUAUUUUCAUCAUCUUUGCACCAUUCAAACCUAGUUGCAUUUAUUUAUUGAAAAAGAGGAGGUGCUUCUUAGUAAAAGGGUAGAAAAAAUGAAGAUAAAGUGUGAGAAGUAUUGGGGUUCUGUGGACACUACAUAUCAGUUGUUGAUCAUUGUUGUGGUACUUGAUCCAAGGCAAAAAUCUGUUAUUUCAUUUGAAUUUUUAUUUUUUAUGAUAAAAUCAAUUGUGAUAAUUAUUUACUCCAAUUUAUUUCUUGUCUAAGGUACAAAUUGGAUUAUGUGUCAUUUUGCUUUAAAAAAUUGCAUAAUCUUGAGAAAGCGAAAGAAAUUACAUCAAACAUUAAGAAGCUACUUUUAAAGGUGUAUUCUUAAACUUUCAAAUUAGAUUCAAUUAUAACAAUAGUUACUUUAUUUUUUUCUGUAAAUGUAUUCAUAUUUACUUAAAUUUAUUUUCAUAGCUAUAUAAAACCUACUGUCUUGUGGAAUCUACUUCUGGUGAUGGUAGCCAAUCUACUAAUGAUGUUUUCGCAAUUGAUGUGGGUUUAAGAAGGAAAAGUGGCAAGGUCUAUGCAUUUAUUAAUACAAAGACUCAAUAUAAGCAGUUAAAAGUGCAGAAAGAUUCCAUUUAUUUGAAAAAUGAGGUUGAAAGGUAUUUGUUCUACCAUAGCGAGGAUGAAACUGAUGAUUGGUUUGAUGUUUUGGGUUGGUGGAUUGCAAAUAGUGCAAGGUUUGGGACUGUCACAAAUUGCAAAGGAUGUGUUAGAAAUUCAUGUAUCUACUGUGGCUUCUGAAUUUGCUUUUAGUGCUGGAGGUCGUGUAGUCUAUGCAUUUCGAAGUUCAUUAACCCCUACAAUGGUAGAGGCUUUGAUAUAUAGUCAACAAUGGCUUAAAGCAACUUGUAUGGAUGAAAAUUAUAUUAGGAAGUUUGAUGUAGAAGUAUCAUCAUCAUACUUUAGUGAUUUGGAAUUAUGUACAUCUGUGGAGCAAGGUACCUAUGCUUUACAUAUAAUAUAAUUAUAUUAUUUUCUAAGUUAAGCAAUCUAACUAAUCAUUUUUUGUCAUUUUAUGCAGAUUUUGACAAAUCAAAAGUAAUUGGGCCAUAAGUUUUGACGGACAAGAUGCACGAUAUUUUGAUUGUCAAAUGUUGUUCAAGUUUAUUUUAAUUUUGUGAGUUUGUUUUGAAUGAACAAGUUGAGAACUUCUUUAUUAGGAUGUAUUCUGUUAUAAACUUGUAUGGAUGUAUCUUUGAAUUGUUAUGUAAAUACGAAUAAUAUAAAAGAGAUAUCAAUUUGGAUUAUGACACAAAAAAAAUAACAAAUAAUUUAGGUACAACAAUAUAAAAGAGGUGAGCUUUUAGCUAAUAAGCUCAAACCAAGAAAAAAACCAAUCCAGAUGGUUUGGUUUAAAAAAAAUUUAGGUCGAUAUCAGUUUGGAUAGGUUUGAUAAUUUGUCUCAAACUGAUCCAAACCAAAUUUGCCUACCUCUCAGUUCCAUUAUCUAGAGAAAUGCAAUAUGUACAUCCAUCUGAUGUAAUUCAAGGUCUAGAUGUACAAUGAUGACCAAAAUUAACUGUAUAGAAGCAAACCUUACCAUAGGAGAAAAGGUUUCUUUAUAGUCUAUUCCCUUCUCUUAGGUAUAGCCUUUAGCGACUAAUCUUACUUUGUAUCUCUUGAUUGUCCCAUCCACUUUACAUUUUAUUUGGAGAACCCAUUUGUUUCCGAUAGUUUUACGAUUAGGCAGAAAUUCAAGUAAGUCCCAAACUUGAUUAACUUUCAUAGAUUCUAUCUCUUCUUCAAUUGCUUUCAUCUAUAAAUCCCUAGUAGACGAUGUGAGAGCUUCAUUAAAAGUAUUUGGCUCUUCACUAUCGUGUGAAGUAAUCAUAAAACUUCUCCCUCAAUCUCAAAAUAACGACAAGGAAUUGGCUUACGACUACUCUUUCGAGUCAAUUUCCUAAUUGGAAUCGAAGUGUCCAGUGUUUCACUCCUACUCAGAGUAACAAUCUCUAGAGGAUUCGCACUAAUGCCAAUAUCGACAUUAGAAGUGAUAACCCCAUUUAGAUCUUCUAAUUCAUAAAAUUGAAAAUCAUUAUCCACUUUUUCAAUGCUAGAAAAUUCAUUUUCUAAAAAACUGAUAUCUGUUGCAACUUUUCCUUGUAUUAUUAGUAUCAAUCUGCAAGUGUAUACAACAAGUAAUAUAAUGAUAAAUAUUGAAGAUCGUCUCCACAUGGAUUGAUGUUAUUAGAAUUGCUACAACAAACCUUAACAGUGCAGCUUGUAUUCUAAAUUAAGACAAAAUAAUUAAUGAGACUAAACAACUAAUUAAACUAUAAAAUGUAAUAACUAAAAAGGCAAUAAAUAAAAUUCUCAUGUCAAACACGAGAAGAAAGCCAAUGAGAAUUGAGUAGUUGAGUGAUUAAACUCUCUUAAUGGUUUUGACUGUUUCUUCUAAUCUUUGGCUCAGUUGCUACAACAUUUGUUGCAACACUGGGCAAAAUUAUAUUGUAUCCUCAGCUGUCGCAUGUUAGAUGUCUUAUAUCCUUAUGCAACCUAACAGUAACCAAUUGUUAUGCCAACAUAAGAUAUAACAUUACACAUUUAGGUUCUAUUUACCCUACAAUGUGAAUUUCUUUGUCUAAUUCAUCACUAAUUUUGGAUUAGGCAUGGCCCUUUUGGACUCAAGUAAAACUCAACUCAAUAAACCCAAUCUAAAACCAAGUAUUACUCUGAUAUGUUACACUAAGAUAAGCCCUUUUUGUGGCUCUUUCUUAGCUUGUAUCAUUAAAUGGGUGGUCAGCCAAAAUAAUGAAUAUAAAUAAAUAUUAUCAAAAUAAAAUACUACAAUAAACAUACAGCAACACAUUUAUACAGUCAAUGGACCAUCAAGAUCGUUUAUCACUCAACCACAAAUAAAUUUAGUUCAUAAUCCAUAAAAGAAACAUGAACAAUAGAGGUUUAUAUAAGAUUAAGGCAAAUUAUAUGUUGUGAACUAUUAUAUAAGAUUAAGGCAAAUUAAAAAUGAUCUAUUAAGGUUUUUAAUAAUUUGGGCUUUAAUGUAUCUAAUCGAUUGUGGGCCUUUAAUGUACAGAGACUUAAGACUGAUUUCUAUUUCCAUGAUGGGUUGGAAUAAGAAUACAUAAGGACAAGAUGAAAUUUUGUUUAUAUAAGUAGUUAUUGUCCCUAGGUCGCACAUAUCGUUCUAUUCUCUAUUGACAUCUCAUCAUUAGAGAGAGUGCAGAGAGAAGUUUAAAGGAUUGUCUAGGAGAACCUGUUAAUUUGGAAGACAAACUACUAGACUCUAGAGACAAAUUAUGCAUUAUGAUCUUAGGUACGCUGCCGUAUAUUCUGUUAUUAAUUCUUGGUGAUAGAACAUGCAUAUUCCUAAAUUUAGGUGAUGAUUUUCACCAAAUGAUUUAUUAUUCUUAUACUCAUUUUUUAUUUUUAGUUCCACACACAAUUGUAAUAGCAAGGUCCCCACGGUUUUUGUACUGCACUCUUUAGUUAUCCAAAAUAAACUUAUACUUGUCUUGAACAUGUUCAAUUCUCAAGGCAUCCAGAGGAGAUUUUCCCCUAAGCUUACGAGCACACAGGUUCCUGAAGUAUUCUUCAACUGGCACUCUUUUAAACAAUGGAGGAUUAUUUUCAGCGACCAAAUUGGACGCAGGGUACAUUUCACCAUCAUAUAUCACUAAGUAAAUUGUGCCAAUGGAAAGUCUUCCUUGUACAGAGUUUACAAUUACACGAUGCUCAAUGCUACGGUAUGUCCCAUUGGUUACAAUCUGCAUGUAAAAAUUAUUAAAUCACAUGAGCAGGCGCAUAUAAAUGCCAAGUUAAGUAAUUUACUAUAAUUAUUACCUCCAUUGUCUCUCCAAUGUCGACAAUGAAAGCAUUAGGGAGUGGAGCAACAGGAAUUAAUGAAAGCACACAUUAGCUAGCUCAUAUGAAUAUCAAGUUAAAAUAACUUAUCAUAAUAAUUACCUCCAACACGACUCCAAUGUUGACAACGAAAGCAUUUGGGAAAGGUGUAACAGGAAUCCACUUUCCAUCCUUCUUGAUCUGGAGACCUUCUACUUCAUUGAUUUCUAGCAGAAUGGUAAGAGCAGAGUCAUCAGAAUGAGGUGUGAGGCCCACAAUCUUCUCCGGCUGAGGACAUGGAGGGUAAUAGUUCAUCCCUAUUGAUUGGAAACCGUUUUCAAAGUAUUCUCUCAAUUCUUCAACUUUGAUAUUUAAAACUUUUCCCAUUUUCGAUACCAGGUUCAUGGCCAGAGAUUUUUAACUCCACUGAAUAAAUUCCAAGAUUUCCUACAAGAAAAAAGAAGACGCAAUUAGAAGGUUUAGUAUAUGAUUGUGGUGGAUUGUUAAAUAAGUUAUUAUUUAGCAGUAUUCUUUCGAAAUCAUAAGUGGUUGUCAAAUUUUACUAGAUAUAACUGACUUGGGAUCUUUCUCUGAACAUAAUACAUUUGCAAUCAUCAAAUAACUGACUAGAGAGAGAGAGAGAGAGAGAGAAAUUUGAGGGGGAAAGAGGGAGCUUAUGAAACAAGUGGGGUUUCCUCAGAUGAACUGGAAGAGUUGUCAUGAAGAAAAUGUUAUUCCAAUCAAGCUUUUGUUCCUCGGAUACAACAAAUGCUUGUCCAAAUCCUUCCACAUCUCCUGGAGACUGCCAAUUUUUUUUUUCCAUGCUUAGAUUGAAGAAUUCUGGAAUCUCUUUCUUUACGUUCUCUAGAAAUGCAGAGCUCACUCCAUGAUUUACCAGCUGAAACAAUUCAGAAACAGAAAAACAGCUAAGACAUUAAUAAUCUAUCAUAAAUUUGCUUGAUAAAUUUAUUUUGGUCAAGGUAUUUUGCUGAGACAGAGUACAACUUAUCGGACUAAUUCAGGCAAAAUUUACUGAGUGAGAUGAAUAAAAGUAUUUGUUAGAUUUUAAUAAACUAAUAGCAUCGCAUUUGCAUUAUACUCCAUCAUAAAUUUGCUUAUAGUUCUUCUCAAACUACCGUAAGCCUACACAUCUGAAAGAUAUUAAAGACAAUUUAAUUUUAAAUGCAGGAUUUUCGUCUCAGCUAUAAAAGAAAGCAAGUUAGAUGGAUACAUAAUCGAACAAGGUCAGUUACAUCCCUCAAUUCUCAGACAAAAAAAAAAAAAAGAGUGCUUAAACAGGCUUGGUUAAGACUACCUACACUCAAAUUUUGUUACAGCUUUCUUAUUGCUAACUUACAGAGCAAGAAAGCAUUGAUACAGAGUAGGCCAAAUUUGUGGCCUACUUGACCUAUAAGAAUGAAACACAAUCUAAUCUGAAUUUGACCGACUGUGCUCUUCGAUUGAGAGUAUACAGAUUUCUUAAUUCUUGACGCCAGACUACUAUUAACAAACCAAGCAUGUCCAAAUGAAAAAGUACAAACUUGGGUGCCUCACGGCAGGUGUAGCUUAGCUGGUUGUGAACGUAAUUCGCAAUUUGCAGAUAUCUGCGCUCGAGUAACAAUAUGGGACAAAGGGUGGUAUUUAGUAGAUGAGGUCUCAUUCCAUGCAAAUCCUUUAAAAGCAAAAUAAUAAUAACUUGGCAAAGGAGUAAAAAUUCUAUUUCAAGAAAGAGAGAUACUGGUCUGAUAUAAGCACCACUAUAUAUCAUCGGAAGAUUCCAGGCAUAAGAUUAUUACAUGGUCUAUUCAGUAUCUCAAAUGAUAGAGCUAUUAGAAACACAUCGACCCUAGCAUAGCAGGUUAUACCACAGUCUUCAUAGAACGUAUUUCUUAUUUUCAGUUCCACACACAAUCUUAAUAGCAAGGUCCUUCAGAGUUUUUGUACCAAACUCUUUAGUUAUCCGAAAUAAACUUAUACUAGCCUUGACUAUGUUGAAUUCUCAGGGAAUCCAGCUGAGAUUUUCCCCUAAGCUCACGAGCAUACCGGCUCCUAAAGUAUUCUUCAAUUCUCACUCUUCUAAACAAAGGAGGAGUUUUUUCAGAGAUCAAACUGGAGGCAGGAUAUACUUCACCAUCAUAUCUCAGUGAGUAAGCUGUGGCAAUGGAAAGUCUUUCCUGUACAGAGUUUACAACUGCGCGAUGCUCAAUGCUAGGGUAUGUCCCAUUGGUUAUAAUCUGCCAUGCAAAAAUUAUUAAAGCACAUAAGCAAGCGCAUAAAAAUGCCAGGUUAAGGUAAUUUAU